rnacentral:miRNA from 1 species
UAGCAUGGCCAACUGUCCUUGUUUGCCUGGGACUGAGGGUUUUCCUGGAAUGCACCACUUUCAGCGCUAAAGCUGGGAGAGUC